AGUGAACGCUGGCGGUAGGCCUAACACAUGCAAGUCGAACGGCAGCACAGUAAGAGCUUGCUCUUACGGGUGGCGAGUGGCGGACGGGUGAGGAAUACAUCGGAAUCUACUUUUUCGUGGGGGAUAACGUAGGGAAACUUACGCUAAUACCGCAUACGACCCACGGGUGAAAGCAGGGGAUCUUCGGACCUUGCGCGAUUGAAUGAGCCGAUGUCGGAUUAGCUAGUUGGCGGGGUAAAGGCCCGCCAAGGCGACGAUCCGUAGCUGGUCUGAGAGGAUGAUCAGCCACACUGGAACUGAGACACGGUCCAGACUCCUACGGGAGGCAGCAGUGGGGAAUAUUGGACAAUGGGCGCAAGCCUGAUCCAGCCAUACCGCGUGGGUGAAGAAGGCCUUCGGGUUGUAAAGCCCUUUUGUUGGGAAAGAAAAGCAGCAGGUUAAUACCCCGCUGUUCUGACGGUACCCAAAGAAUAAGCACCGGCUAACUUCGUG
rnacentral:rRNA from 1 species